GACCGAGGGUGCAAACGUUGCUCGGAAUUACUGGGCGUAAAGCGCGUGUAGGCGGACUGGUGUGUCGGAUGUGAAAUCCCCAGGCUCAACCUGGGAACUGCAUUCGAAACUGCCAGCCUUGAGUGGUGGAGAGGGAAAUGGAAUUCCUGGUGUAGAGGUGAAAUUCGUAGAUAUCAGGAGGAACACCAGUGGCGAAGGCGGCUUCCUGGACACCAACUGACGCUGAGACGCGAAAGCGUGGGGAGCAAACAGG
rnacentral:rRNA from 1 species